AUUGAACGCUAGCGGGAUGCUUUACACAUGCAAGUCGAACGGAGUGGCGGACGGGUGAGUAAUAUCUGGGAAAGUGCCUAGUAGCGGGGGAUAACUACUCGAAACGGUGGCUAAUACCGCAUACUCUUAGAUCUGCCGAUAUCGGAUUAGCUAGUUGGUGGGGUAAAGGCUCACCAAGGCGACGAUCCCUAGCUGGUUUGAGAGGACGACCAGCCACACUGGGACUGAGACACGGCCCAGACUCCUACGGGAGGCAGCAGUGGGGAAUAUUGGACAAUGGGGGAAAGCCUGAUCCAGCCAUCCCGCGUGUAUGAUGAAGGCCUUCGGGUUGUAAAGUACUUUUGGCGGAGAAGCGUUAUCUGCAGAAUAAGCACCGGCUAACUACGUGCCAGCAGCCGCGGUAAUAC
rnacentral:rRNA from 1 species